AUUAAUAGUAUUCCACCAGUACAUCUCACUAGGAUUUCCCUGGAACCUCUUCACUUGCCGCAACUGAAGGAGGCGUAGUAAGGAAACCCAAUGCACUCAGCACCCCAAAUACACCACCACCACAGAUCACAUUGUGAUGACCAGAGCAUCAGCGAUUUGCUUUGACUGGGAGCAGGGUGGUAGGGGGCUUGCGGGGAAUCAAAGGAUGAGGCUGUGGUCGAGUCUCUGGGUGCUUUGGGGGCGCUGUGCUUGGGUGGCUUAGGCUGGGCACCCGGAGUCUCGGCAAGAGGAGGUGUCGGCGCAGCCUUGCCUGGUCCCGCUUCCCAGGCGAAUCCCGCUGCCUGUGACUCCGGGCAACUGAAUUCCCCAAGCCAAAAGCCUUGUUUUACAGGAGAGUGUGCUAGAAAUGGCUUUGCUGCCGAGCUCAUUAUCUUGCCAUUUUCCCGUCCGGAUACUGCAUAAACGAUCACCUGAUCGAUCGGCCCGAGUUACAGAAUGAGAGAAGGAAUAAACAUUUGCCCUGGAUAAAAAUGUUCUUGGUAAGUAAUCUUAUUUUCCGCGGUUGAAAGGGAAACACAUUGCUAUUCAGUGCCCCAUCCCCCACUCCAUUCAUUUAUUUGCUCUCUGUAUGUAAAUCACGAGCUGUGUCGGUGGAAAUGUUCUUAUUCUCUUUCCUAAAAGAGUAGCAGCCUUAAAGUAGCGGGUUUUAAAGAGGCAAUGUGAACAUUUUAAGGUCCUUCAUUAACCUACACUGAAAACUGAAAAACAGGUAAAGUCCAUCCUUGCUUGCUUUCCAAUGGGUAUUUAAAGACAUUCUUUAUUUCCUAUUAGCUCUCUUUUCUUCCUGAAAAUAAAGAAAAUGGUUUUAGGUAGU